rnacentral:rRNA from 1 species
AUGAACGCUAGCGGCAGGCCUAAUACAUGCAAGUCGCGGGGUAAGGCUCUUUCGGGAGCACACGACCGGCGCACGGGUGCGUAACGCGUAUGCAACCUACCUAUAACAAGGGGAUAGCCGCGGGGNAAACCCGUGAUUAAUACCCUAUAAAGCAGGGGUACUGCAUGGUACUAUUUGCUAAAGUUGAGGCGGUUAUAGAUGGGCAUGCGUUAGAUUAGCUAGUUGGUAGGGUAACGGCUUACCAAGGCGACGAUCUAUAGGGGUUCUGAGAGGAAGGUCCCCCACACUGGCACUGAGAUACGGGCCAGACUCCUACGGGAGGCAGCAGUAAGGAAUAUUGGUCAAUGGGCGAGAGCCUGAACCAGCCAUGCCGCGUGCAGGAAGACGGCCUUCUGGGUUGUAAACUGCUUUUAUACGGGAAGAAAAAGGUCUUGCGAGGCUACUUGCCGGUACCGUAUGAAUAAGCACCGGCUAACUCCGUGCCAGCAGCCGCGGUAAUACGGAGGGUGCAAGCGUUGUCCGGAUUUAUUGGGUUUAAAGGGUGUGUAGGCGGUAGUUUAAGUCAGUGGUGAAAGUCUUGAGCUUAACUGAAGAAGUGCCAUUGAAACUGGAUUACUAGAGUAUAGUCGAGGUAGGCGGAAUUUAUGGUGUAGCGGUGAAAUGCAUAGAUACCAUAAAGAACACCGAUAGCGAAGGCAGCUUACUAGGCUAUAACUGACGCUGAGGCACGAAAGCAUGGGUAUCGAACAGGAUUAGAUACCCUGGUAGUCCAUGCUGUAAACGAUGCUCACUAGCUGUUGGCGAUAUAAGUUCAGCGGCUUAGCGAAAGCGAUAAGUGAGCCACCUGGGGAGUACGUCCGCCAGGAUGAAAAUCAAAAGGAAUUGACGGGGGUCCGAACAAACGGUGGAGCAUGUGGUUUAAUUCGAUGAUACGCGAGGAACCUUACACUGGGCUAGAAUGCGAGCGCUAUCAUGAGAGAUCAGGAGUUCUUCGGACAUGAAGCAAGGUGAUGCAUGGCUGUCGUCAGCUCGUGCAGUGAGGUGUUGGGUUAAGUCCCGCAACAGAGCGCAACCACCUAUUGUUAGUUGCCAGCACGUAGUGGUGGGGACUCUAACGAGACUGCCUGCGCAAGCAGAGAGGAAGGAGGGGACGACGUCAAGUCAUCA